rnacentral:lncRNA from 1 species
CCCAGCUUGCCCCGGCAUCCCGCUCUCCGGAGCCGGGAAAAGGCUGCCAGCAUGCGCCAGGCCGCCUCCCGCUCCGAGCCAGCUUCCAGUCUCGUUUACACCAGCACUGCGGUGCCGGAGUGACUCCGCUCGACGCCCCUCCGGGUGCAAAUCCCGCCCGGUUCCCCAGCGCUUCCGGGGGCGCUUUGCGCCCCGAUGUGCCCAGUCCCCCCCAGCGAGCGUCUCCGGUGUCUUGAAGGUCCCUUCCCGUCUUCCAGCCUCCGCCAAAACUCAACGAGCCGGGUCCGGUCCCGCCGCUCCCGGGCCCGUCCGCACCUGCUGCGGCCUCAUCYGGGCUGCAGGGAGCCGAGCCGAGGGGACGGGAUCGGGGUUUUCGUUGCAAAAUGACUCCAGCGAGGGAGAUGCGGGAUGCGUAGACCGGGGAGAGGGUUUUUUCCCCCCCCCCCUUGGAGUUUGAGAAGAAUAAACCCUUUUUGUUCGUUUUUUUGUUUUGUUUUGUUUUCUUUGCAGAGCCGAGACCUUGUGCAUGCGUGUAGAAAGUUGUAAAAUGUAAAAUUGUUUUUUAAUAUAUAAAAAGCUUGUUUUUACAGUUUGCAGUGGAUCGAAGCAUUACAGCAGUGUUAGGAAGUUUUGGUUGUUUUUUUUUUUCCAUAGAGGGACUAAAAUUGUACAAAUUUUUUUUUUUAUAUAUAAAAUAAACACAUUUGACAUUUUUCUUUGUCUUCUCACACCUGGCGCUUUGCGGUGAGCUGGUAGAAGCUGGCUCGCGGCUUCUAGCAGUGGUUUGGCAGCACUUUUAGCUGCUUCAACUCCUCGGAUCUGCCCGGCCUGGCUCUGCGCAGCGCUGGAGUUGAUGCUGAGCCCUGGGUCAAGGUGCUGCAGUGGCAGGAUGCGGCCUCGAGAGAGCACGCGGAGGGAAACCAGCCCUGCCCCGGUGAAAGAUGCCCUCGGAGGAUGCCCGGUGCCGGCGGAGGAUGCUCGGAAACAGCCGUGUCCUUUCUGCCGGCGGCUCAAGGCUCAGGGAAGGAGGAACAGGAGCGUCAGCGCGGCGUCAGACGUGCACRGGACCGAGGGCAGGGAAGGAGCCGAAGGCCGUGCCGAAACCCCGCGGCGCCCCGCCGGGCCCUCGCGGCGGAAGCGUCUCGCUUAGGCCAGAGAGAAAACCCAGCGUUUCUGGGGUGAAACCCUGCUUUAUUGGCUCGACCGUGCGCGUCGCUGACCAUCCAACCCCUGUCCUUGCAUGCGCAUUAGAAAAUGCACGUGCACGGCCAUGCCACGCGCAGCCACGUUGUGCACGGCCGUGCCACGCGCUGGCUCCCGUCCUGCCAGGGUUUGACACGUGCUCCAGCACCCGCGGGCCGGGAAGGGCCGAGGAGGCGGCGAGGCCUCGUCGCCGGCCGGGAGCAUCCUCGCCGCGCGCGUGGCCCGGCCUCGCCGCCUCCUCGGGGCGUUUCGAAGCUGCCGGUUUCUCCGUGGGCUUCGGCCAUGCUGGGAGCCCUCAGUCAGCGCCRGGCGCUCCGGAGCAGCGGGAGCUGCCGGCAGCCACGGGUGCAAUGGGCUGCUCGGAUGAGAGAGCAGCAAGGUCAGGCCCUGCUCCGGGGACRGGGAACAGGACUCCGCAGGGCACCGCCACAUGUGGGCAUCCCCUGGAAAGCAUCAACCUCCUCCGGGGACCGGCCCGGGCUGGAAGCACCUGCGAUGCCCGGCGCUGGGCACAUUGCAAGCUGGGCAAACCUGAGAACGGCCCCGUGCAGUCCCUUGCUCCUGCUUAUUGCCCAAAAUUACACUGUGCGCCCGACAUGGCCGAGGAGCGUUAAAAUACCUGGGCCGGCAGCAGCUGCGGCGGGGGAGCAUCCUCCUCGCCGAGGAUGGUUUCCCUCAGGUCCUGGGUUGGGGGUUUCUCCGGCCCCUUUCGCUCCUCCUGCAGCGGAGACGGCAGCGGCUUUAGGAGACGCUGUGCGGCCCUGAGCAUCCCCGUCCCCGAACUCGUGUCCCCACCGCGUCUGCAUCGCCCGCCGGGGCAGGCUCGGCUCGAAGCCCGGGCAAGGGGCGGAGGAGGCAGGAUUUCGGCUGCGGACCCCCCAUCAGCUGGACUCACCCUGGCAGGAGGGAUUAUUGGGGCCCUGUCAUGGAUGGGGACGGUGGCUGCUUCUCCCAAGUCUGCAAUACAGCGAUUUUGGAUGUGAAUAAAAGCACGAAAACCAGGCA